ACCUUCUCUUCUCUCUUAUCUUUCUCUCUCUCUUUCUCUUCUUCUCUCCCUCUCUUUGUGCUGAUUUUCAAAGAGACCUUGCUGAAAAUUCUGGAGAGAUAUCAUUAAAGAACAAGCUCUGUUCUAAAGUCGAUGACAAUGACACUUCAGAUUCUUUAACAACCAUUUUUU
rnacentral:ribozyme from 13 species